UCCACCAUUUUACAAAAGCAUGUCUCUGCAAAGGUUGAUAUUGCUUCUUGUUUUCAGUUUUCCCAUACUUGUAUUGCCAUGAAAAGAUCCAUGACAAAGCAAAGCUGGAAAAAUACAUUAGAUCGGCUGGAAUUCUUGAUUCCUGGUUGUUGAACAAUCUAUUGAACUGUUGAAAUCCUUGUUGGACUUCUUCUGGAAAGAUUUGUGGGAUUGGGCCAAAAUAAGUCCACCAUUGGAGAAACCAGUUUGGAAAAUUGUAUACAGUAUUAUUUUUGAAAUAAAUCAACCACGAAUGCUUGAAUUUAUUGUUCUGAUGCCAAAACACAUUGGUCCAAGCAUCAAUAUAGUCCCAAUAAGUGUAUCCUGCUGGGUCAAAAGGUGCAGAAAACUUUUUGGGCUGGUUAAGAUUAGUCUCGUAAUGUCGUGACUGCAUUACUUUCAGAAUUUGGAUUGUGGAAUGGGUAUUUAAGCUUGGAUCUUUUGAGUCUUUGAAAUGCUUGAUUGAUACUGAAUUUGUAUCUACUAGAAUAAAUUCAUAGAACUUUUUGGUUUUAUUGAGGGCUGUUGGCCUAUAAUGGAAUCCUUGGGGGAAGACUUUGGCGGUUGCUUUGAAGGGAUUUUUGUCCCAAUAUUAUGGUUCCAUUUGGAGGACAGUAAAAAAUUUAUUUUUAGGAAUAUAGAUGUUGGUGGGUUUUGGUGUUGGAUCUUGUUGAGCCAACGUUCGUUUUUCUUUUGGGUUACAAACUGUCUUGGUUUGUUUGGUCUUUCGGAUUUGUUUAUGGAGAUCUGUUUCAGAAUCAUCGUCUGAUUCUGAGGCCAUUUCUGCCCAGGUUUUCUUGGCUAAUUUUGGGAUUUUGGUAAGGCCUAUGUCUUCUAAGGCCUGAAGGGUUUGAAUUGACCAGGCAUAGUCAGCCACGGUCUGUUUUGCUGUUACUGGUUUGGGGGAGUCUUGAGUAGAUGACUCAGGUUUAAUGGUAGCUAUUUGGGUCAAUGAUCCUUCAAUUUUUGUUUUCUGGGUUGAUGACUCAGUCUAGGUAGGUGACCCAGAGGAUGAUGAAGUUGUCUUCUUGAUUAUUUGCUUUGGUAGAGCUAAAAGAACUUCUUUUCCUUUACUUCUCGAUCUUCCUCCUCUCCCGGAAGAGCUUGACACCUUAGGAGGCAUCAGUAUUUUUCUGUAAAAAUUCACACGUGAGGUAGUCAGGUAGAGAAUUUGAGGUGCCCUUGAUGUAUUCUAUUUCAAAAUCAAAGACACUUAAAAUUGCUUGCCAUCUUGCAAAUAUUUGUUUUGAGGCAAGGUUUUUAACAUCCUUUUGUAAAAUAUCUUUGGCUGACUUGCAAUCAACCCUAAUUAAAAUUUUUUGGUUUAAUAAAUCUGAUUGAAAUUUGGAAAUGCACAAAACAAAUGCUAAAACUUCCUUUUUAACAAUUGAAUAUUUCAAUUGUGUAGGAUUCCAAUGUUUUGAUGUAUAUGCAAUGACAUGAUCUUGACCAUGUACUCUUUGUUUGAGGAUUCCACCAUAACCUAUGUCUGAUGCAUCGAUUUCAACUAUUUUAAAUGCCUGAGGAAUAGGAAGAUACAAACAUUUUAUAGAUUGGACUUUGAGUUUGAUUUCUUUAACUGUUUGGGUAUGGAGAUCAGACCAAGGAGAUGGAUUUUUCUUCAGCCUAUCAUACAAUGGCUUGACAAUAUUGUUUAAAUAGGGGACAAAUUCUCCUACAUAAUUUAGACAACCUAGAAAUCUUUGUAACUGGAUCUUGUCUAAGAUUUGGUUGGGAAAUUUUUUUGCAAACUCUAUUGACCUUUCAAUUGGAAUGAUUGUACAUUGAUAUAUCUUGUGACCAAAGAAUUGAAUUCGAGUUUGGAAAAGAUUGAUUUUUGAUUUGGAGACUGCCAAACCAUUCAAUUUGAUGAUAUGGAUGAAAGUCUGGAGAUGUUUGAAGUAUUGGUCAAUGUUUUGGGAAAAGAUUAAAACAUCAUCUAUGUAGACAAUGACAAAUUUUGAAUAGGGAUUAAAAAUAUCAUUCAUAAUUUUUUGAAAUUCUAAAGGGGCAUUCUUCAGUCCGAAUGGCAUCACAUUCUAUUCAUAUUGCCUGAAAGGUACAAAAAACGUUGUUUUGUACUUAUCUGAUUCUUGGAUUUUGAUUUGCCAAAAUCCAGAUUUCAUAUCAAAUUUUGAAAAUAUCUUUGCAGAAUUUAAUCUGUUAAGUAAAUCUUUUUUGUUUCGAAUAGGAUACCUAAUCCAUUGUAAUGCUUGAUUCAGUGGUUUGUAAUUUAUGACUAAGCGGGGUGUUCCUCAUUCAAGCUCAGAUUGUUUAUUGACAUAAAAAGCCACACAAGACCAUGGGCUUUUGCUUUUUCGGAUUAGGCCAUUAUCAAGCAAAUCCUUGAUUUCCUUUUGGCAGUAUUGAAGGAGUUCUUCGUUCAUUUGAGUUGGUCUGGCUUUUGUGGGAAUUUUUUUCCCCUAAAUUCUUUCUCAUAAGGGAGAUCAACAAUAUGUUUCUUUCUAUCCCAAAAUGCAUGUGACAAAUCAGAACAGACAGUUGAUUCGAUAUGACUUAAUAAAGAUUGGAUUUUUUCUUUUACUUGGGAUUUUCCCAGUUGUAUCUGAAUAUUAUUAAAAGAUACUUCUUCUUUUAAGAAGUUAAUUUGGUUGAUCUUAUUUUCUAUAAGAUUUAUAUUCCUGGAGAUUGGUUUAGUAGAAAAAUUAAAUAUAAUUUUUCUUCCUAAAUAAUUUGUAGUUAUUCCUUCAUUAGAUAUUUGAAUGGGAAACAAGGCUCUAAUGAAGGGAGUUCCUAGGAUCACUUCGUUCUUAAGGUUUUUUACCAGAAGAAAGUUUGUGGGAAUUAACGAUGAUUGCAUUUGAUAACUUAAAAUUAAUCUUUAAUUUUGAGUCAUUUGUUGUGCUCAAUUUUUUUAAGGUUUUCUCAAAGAAUUUUGUAGGAAUUAAUCCUUCUAAAAUACAGUUUGAAUCAGCCCCUGUGUCAAAUAGGGCCAUUGUAUCUAAAACAAAAUCAUUAAUAAUUAUUUUUAUCUUUAUGUAAAAUUUUUGGAUUUUAAUCUUGUUGAUUAAUCCCAUAAACAUAUCAUCUUCUAGAUUAUCUGGUUGGUUUCCUUCACUGUUGUUGACACUUUCAUAAUCACUAUCUUCCUCAAGCUGAGAAAAAAUGAUCUGAUAAAUUUCUUGUUGUUGACGAAGUUCUUUCACUUCCUUUUUUAGAUUGUUUAUCUCUGUUUGAAGAUCUUGGAUUGUUGUUGGUUUGGCUGAAGAUUUUUCUAAUCUUUUGAAUAUGUUACUUACAUCAAAUUUAUUAUUUGUAAUAAAAUCCUUCUGUCUAGGUUUUACCUCAAAUGUUUUCUUGAGUUUUUCCAGAAAAACUUUCUUUUCCUGGGGGUCAGGUAUAGAAUUGAUUGCUUCAAACAAGAGAUCUUGUUCUCUCAUUAGAGUAUUGAUUUGUCCAUCAUCAUCUAUUGAUGAUAGUUGGUCAUCUUGUUGGAUUAGGUUUAGGUUUUCAUCGGAAAGCACGGAGGAUGAAGUUUCUGUUUCUUCCUCCGAGGUUUCUAUAAGCAAAUUGUUUAUUUGCUCUUCAAUAACCGGUUCUAAGUUAAGAUUUCUUAACUUCUUUUUUAGUCUACAAUAUUUACUAAUGUGGCCUUGUUUUCCACAAUUGUAACAUGUUAUUUUUUUGCAUUUUUUGUUUAGGAUUUUCCAUUUCUUUACUGGUUGAGGGUUUGUGUGAGUAUCUCCUUCUUGGAAAUCUCUUUUUAAUGACUAGUUUAUUCUCAUGGAUUUCUCUCCUAGUGGAUUGUUUUUUCUUUUGUUUUGGACAGGCCGGUAGACCAAAUUGUUCGCAGAAAGAACCUAAAUCCUUCUUUGUUCGGGUCUUUUCUUUGGCUAAUUGCCUCUGAAUUUUGUCAUCCUGACAAAUUUUUAAGGCUACCUUUUGGACAUAAGAAAUUAAUUGAAUGUAGCUUAAGCUUUCAUAUGGAAUGUCUCUAUUGGCAGAUAGACUACGGAUUUUAUAUCUAACCUUGUCUCCUAAUGAUCUGGGAAGACCGGCUAGAAAUUUUUUUUUCCAUAAAGGUUAUUGACUAUCUUCUCUAGUGUAAACCCUAGUUAGGAAAGUAUCUCUGUACCACCUAAAGUCUACUAAGGUUCUACACUUAAGGUUUGACAACAAUUCUGCAGACCUAUCUUUCCACAGAGAUGGGUCUCCAAUGAAGUGUUGAGCUAUUGUAAAGAUUAAUGUAUUAACAGCGUCAGGAAUCUCCUUAUCAUCGUCAUUAGUAAUGACUUUUCCAUUGAGAUCUGUCUUAACUGCGCUACAAAUUUUUUAUUUUUCUUCAUUCGUGAGAUAACUAUCCCACCAACCUUUUAAUUGUCCGGAAAAUCCUGCCACUAAAAUGUCUAUAAUGGUUUCUUCCGAACAUUCAUGGGAGGUUUGGUAAGUUGUAGCUACCAUGGUCAUAUGUUGGAGUGUAUUCAUGAUGUUAUACUCCGUUUGUGCAUCUAUGUUCCAUUCAUAGAUGUUGUUUGCACUAAAACUCUUAAAAUUGUUUUCACCUCUUUCCUCUAAUAGAAGGUCAGGGGCAGUUGGACGUUGAUAAUAUAAUUUAGAGGGUGUUUUUCAGUGUUUGGAAUUAAUAAGAUUUAUAUUCUUUUCUGAUACUGAUCCUAUCUCAGUUGCAUUUUCUGAGUUUUGGUCACUAUCUUCAUUAAUAACAUUAAUUAAUUUGGAAGUACUUCUCGUUACCAUUUUGGAUGUAUUUUUCGAAGUUUGGGGAGUUUUUGGAAUAACCUUAAGUAAGCUACCUAUUUUGUUUAGUAAUUCACUAUGGUUGUCUCCUACUCCUUCAAUUAAGGAUUUAGUUUUUAUUAGUUCCCUAAUUUUUCGUUUAGCAUUAUCACUCACUUUGAAAGGUUUGAAUAAUGGUUUUUCAAUGGGAAUACUUGGUGAAGCUUCCUCAACUGAUUUUUGUUUAGGAACUACCUUAGUUUUAAUGGUUUCUCCUAAAACAUGUAAAUAUUUAUUGGUAUAAUUUGCCUGUUCCAUUAGGCUCUUAAUAUCUUUGGAGGUUACUUCCUCGUUGACAUCUUUUGUCUUGAAUGGAAUUGCCAUGACAGGUUUAUUGUUACUAUCUUUGACAUUUGGUAGUUGAUAUUGUGUUGUUGGAGGUAAUUCUAAUUGGAUUAACUCACCGUCCUUCAUUUGCUAAUUUGUUAUGAUAUUUGUUGUUGGAUCACCUAUGAUAUCUUGUUUCCAAGGGUAAUCUAUAUCCUUUCUGAUGGUAUAAGCAUGAAACCAAUCGAAGAAAAGGACAUUAAUUUUGACUCUUUCGACAAAUUCGUAGAACAUGUCUUGGAUCUAUUUUCUGUUUGUACCCUUGUAAUGUUGGAGAAACCAUAUCCUUUAAAGUUCAUUCUCCGAAGAAUAAAAGUCUUUCCUAAGGGUUUCCUUAUCAAUGCUAAACUUGUCAGAUAACAUCAUAAGGUUCCAUAGAAGAAUAAGUUGGGGAAUGGAUCAACUUUUGGUCGUCCUCCUAUUCUUGGUUGUACGUUGUUCUAGGUAUACUAGAAGUAAUAUCUAAUCCUUGGAGGUUUACAGUAGGGAACUGGUUGUGUGACUUAGAUCUGGUUAGUCUUACUGGAAUUGAACGGGUUCUAACUGAAAAAGACCUUAUGGCUGACUCAUAUUCAAACCUAGAGGCUUCUAUUCUUGAUGAAAAAGAAUUUCUCCUAUUGAAGAUUAUUUCUACCUUACCGGAGUUAUCUUGCUUAAUUUGCUCUAUGGUUGGAGCGAGUUGGGGAACAGACGGUGUGGCCUUAUCCAUAACCCAUCUUUCGGGAAGAGUUACUUCAUCUCAUUUUAUUUUUCUCGGGAGAGAAACGCUAGCCUUUGUCAUAUCAGUGAUAAACAAAGUUGUUUCUCCUCUUUGAGGUUUUAACAGGACUCUAGAAGCACAUGUAACACCCUGAUAUAUAUAUAUAUAUAUAUAUAUAUAUAUAUAUAUAUAUAUAUAUAUAUAUAUAUAUAUAUAUAUAUAUUAUUAGUAAUUAUGUUUGAUGUUUGAUUAUUUGUUGCGUUAUUUUCAUCCGUAAUUAUUUUUAAGGAGGUUAAUUUAGUUAAUAGAGGGGUGUGGAUAGAUAAGGAUCUAGCUUCUCAAAGAAGUUUCUUGAGAAAGCUUCUCAAAGAAGCCACGAGGAAGCUUCUGGAGGAACCUUCUUAAUGAAGCUUCUAGAGAAAGCUACAUGAAGCUGCCUCGGUAAAAACGCUGCCCAACCUUCGUUAACCGUUGGCUCUUCUUGACAUUUGGUCUGCAACUUAACAAGACACUUGUCCAUGAUCUGACCGUUGGGAUCUUUUAGAAGAUAUCUGGAGUGUGCUCGAAGCUUCCGUUCCCGAGAGCAUUUCUUAUUUAAGCACUUCAGCCUUUGCUUUCAUGUAGCUUAGGAAAAAUGUCAUUUCUUCUUCUUUCUUUCUUCCAAAGCCAUUUCUAAAGUUCCAAGCACUUUCUCCAUCACCCACAGCCACCAUUAGCCACCACAAACCAUCGUUGUUAUCCACACCGAGAGAAACCCUUCAAUCGAAGCGGAAUCUUCCAACUUGGCUUGUUGUUUCAGUAGAGAACGAAACCCUAAUCUGACCUUUCAUUUUCUUUCGAGGUAACCAUGGUUCUACGCUUGUUUCUUGUUAGUUUCAUCUUGUCUUUGCGUCUUUUCUGACUUUGGAACCGCCAUUGUAUGUCUUAUGCUUCCUUUGAAAAACCUUAGAGAAAGAGACUUUGUAAACAUUAUCCUUUCAUGAAAUGCAUGUUAUUUUCGUAACCUACACUGAACCCCGGUCACAUUGGCGUGAUCGGAAUUUCCAAAUGAUGUUCCUUUGUAAAACCUGAAAUGCUCUCAACUCUUUCAUGUAGUGAUUUGGGUGUCUGACCCAAAGCAUUGUUACUAGCUUUGUUUUCUGAAAUCCAUACUAAGUCUCCUUCGUUUUGGCAUAGUAGAGGCUUGCGUGGAAUCGACGAGCAAGGACAAAAAGGAAUCUUCAAUUGACGCGACGAGGAAUCUGCGGGGAAGCUCACGAUAGGUAAGGGGAGUUUAUUAUAAAAUUUACCGUUUUAACACCAUAGUUAGGGUCAGGGAACCUAGCUAUGAGGAUAUCUACCUGUCCCUGUUGCAUGCUGAUUUUUCUUCAAAGAAAAUUACGUUUUAACUAAUGGGAUGCGAUAUAUAUAUAUAUAUAUAUAUAUAUAAAGAAGGAUUUAGGUUCAUAAACCUGAUGGGGAAGUAGGAAUGUUGUCCGUAAGGACGUAUGUUAACAAAUUUUAUGGAUCUGAAACUGAAACCUUGUAUAGUAUGAGUAAUAUUUUAUUUUAAUUUGUACAGUAGAUGUUUGAACAGUACUUCCUGGAAGUACAACAGUCUAAUAUUUUAGUUGAAUGGUACUUUAGCAGUAAGACCCGUGGUGGAUAAAGGGCAGUAAGGCUAAGGUGUACUGUUUAACCAAAAUAUCAAGACAUAAUAUACUGAUGGCUAUAAGAUUGUCGUUCAAACUAAUUCAAAAAAAAGAGUUUUUUCUUAAAAAUAAUUCAGAUCCGAAAAAUUUUGUUACGUAUAUACUUACGGAAAUAUUUCUAGGGAACCAAAUGAGGGCGAAGAUAUUAGAGGAUUUUAUAAUCAUGUCUAGACUCCUGCGUUCUUUUUCGCGUAUUUCCUUUCGGUCUAAUUCCUCUUCAUCAACUUCUUCCAGAAAUUCAAACUUAUUAAGUGAUCAAGAUAACCAGACCCAAGAGGUCGCCCCUAAACACAAUCUCUUCGAUGAGGAAGUCCGAUUCGAAGAUAUCAAUCAAAACAUGGAUGAAUGGAACAUCCUAGAAAUCCCUCAGGAUCAACUAUACGUUCCUGAAACAAUGAAAGAUAAACACAACUUUGAUUACAUAAUCAAAACAGUAGAAAACAAUAUUCCUCUAGGGCAAGACAUAGGGGAAGAAUUCCAUUUACUUUCAAAAAAUUCAAUUUAUGAACAUAGUCGAAAGUAUAAAUAUUUACACAUCGGCUGUGUACAAGUAGCCAUCAAGCCCUUAAUAGACAUGGGCAUAGAUGCAGCAGUGUUAAUGUGUCUAAGAGAUAUUAGGCAUAAUAAAUUUGAAGACUCCUUAAUUGGAACAGUCGAAAGUAGCCUAGGACAGGGUCCAGUAUAUUUUAAUUGUUAUCCAAACAAAACAGUGAGUCUGAUGGACAGAAACAUUCUCGACUCUCUGUUCUUAAACAUCCACUUUCAUGGCCUUGACAUGAAAGAAGGAUCAAUCCCAGCGGCUUUAAUCUAUAGGAUCCAGUACAAGGUCAUGAACACUUGUGCCUCUAGAGUCCUGUUGCAACCACAAAAGGGAGAAACAACCUUGUUUAUUACCGAUAUGACAAAAGCCAACGUCUCUUUAAAAAGAAUAAUAAAAUGGGAUGAAGUAACUCUCCCCGAAAAAUGGGUCAUUUAGAAAGCCACACCGUCUAAUCCCCGACCCGCUCCAAUUAUUGAGGACAUUAAACAGGAUAACUUCGGAAAGGUAGAAAUAACCUUUAAUAGGAGAAAUUCAUUCUCAUCAAGGAUAGAAGCCUCUAGGUCUGAAUACGAGUCAGCCAGAAGGUCUUUUUCGGUUAGAACCCGUUCAAUCCUAGUAGGUCUAACCAGAUCUGAGUUACAUAACCAGUUCCCUACUGUAAACCUCCAAGGACUAGAUACCACUUCUAGCAUACCAAGAACAACCUACAACCAAGAUCAGGAGGACGACCAAAAGUCGAUCCAAUCCCCAACAUACUCUUCUAUGGAACCUUAUGAUGUUUUCUGACAACUUUAGCAUUGAUAAGGAAACCCUUAGGAAAGAUUUUUAUUCUCCGGCAAAUGAGGCUCAAAGGAGAUGGUUUUUCCAAAAUUACAAGGGUACAAACAGAAAACAGAUCCAAGACAAGUUCUAUGAAUUUUUCGAAAGGGUCAAAGUUAACGUCCUUUUCUUUGAUUGGUUCCAUGCUUACAGCAUCAAAAAAGAUAUAGAUUACCCAUGGAAGCAAGACAUCAUAGGUGAUCCAUCAACAAAUGUUAUAACCAAUUGGCAAGUAAGAGAUGGUGAGAUGAUCCAAUCGAAAUUACCUCCCACGACCAAAUAUCAACUCCCGAAUAUCAAAGAUAGUAACAACAAACCUAUAAUGGCAACCCCAUUUAAAACAAAAGAUAUUAAUGAGGAAGUAACCUCUGAAGAUAUUAAAAGCCUAAUGGAACAGGCAAACUACACCAAUAAAUAUUUACAAAUUUUAGGAGAAACCAUUAAAACUAAGGUAGUUCCUAAGCAAAAAUCGGUUGAAGAAGUCUCUCCAAGUAUUCCCAUUGAAAAACCACUGUUCAAACCUUUCAAAAUUAGUGAAAAAGCUAAACGAAAGAUUAGAGAACUUAGGAAAACUAAAUCCUUAGUUGAAGGAGUAGGUGACAAUCAUAGUGAAUUACUAAACAAGAUUGGUAGUUUACUUAAGGUCAUUCCAGAAACUCCCCAAACCUCGGAAAAUACUUCCAAAAUGGUAACAAGAAGUACCUCCAAAUUAAUUAAUGUCAUUAAUGAAGAUAGUGACCAAAACUCAGAUAACACAACUGAGAUAGGAUCAGUGUCAGAAAAGAAUAUAAAUCCAAUUAAUUCUAAACAUUGGAAAACACCUUCCAAAUUAUAUUAUCAACGUCCAACUGCCCCUGACCUUCUAUUAGAAGAAAGAGGAGAAAACAAUUUCAAGAGUUUUAGUGCAAACAACAUCUAUGAAUGGAACAUAAAUGCACAAACGGAGUAUAAUAUCAUGAAUACACUCCAACAUAUGACCAUGGUAGCUACGGCUUACCAAACCUCCCAUGAAUGUUCAGAAGAAACCAUUAUAGACAUCUUAGUGGCAGGGUUUUCUGGACAACUGAAAGGAUGGUGGGAUAAUUAUCUCACUAAUGAGGAGAAAUAAAAAAUUUACAGCGCAGUCAAAACGGAUCUCAACGGAAAAGUCAUUAGUAAUGACGAUGAUAAAGAGAUUCCUGACGCUGUCAAUACCUUAAUUUUUACAAUAGCUCAACAUUUUAUUGGAGACCCAUCCUUAUGGAAAGAUAGGUCUGCAGAAUUAUUAUCAAACCUUAAGUGUAGAACCUUAGCAGAUUUUAGGUGGUACAGAGAUACUUUCCUAACUAGGGUUUACACAAGAGAAGAUAGUCAACAACCAUUCUGGAAAGAAAAAUUUCUAGCUAGUCUUCCCAGAUCAUUAGAAGACAAGGUUAUUGAUAAAAUUCAUAGUCAAUCUGCCAAUGGAGACAUUCCAUAUGAAAACUUAAGCUAUGGCCAAUUAAUUUCCUAUGUCCAAAAGGUAGCCUUAAAAAUCUGCCAGGAUGACAAAAUUCAGAGGCAAUUAGCCAAAGAAAAAGCUCAAACAAAGAAGGAUUUAGGUUCCUUCUGUGAACAAUUUGGCUUACCAGCCUGCCCAAAACAAAAGAAGAAACAAACCUCUAGGAAAGAAAUCCAGGAUCAUAAACCAGCCAAUAGAAUAAGAUUUUCAAAAAGAAGAUACUCUAAAAAACCCUUAACUAGUAAGGAAAUAGAAAAUCCUAAGCAAAAAAUAAAAUAAAAAAUAACAUGCUACAAUUGUGGAAAAAAAGGCCACAUUAGUAAGUAUUGUAGACUAAAGAAAAAAUUAAGGAACCUUAACCUAGAACCCACAAUCGAAGAACAAAUAAACAAUUUACUCAUAGAAACUUAGAAGGAAGAAACAGAAAUUGAAACUUCAUCCUCUGUACUUUCCGACGAAAAUCUAAACUUAAUCCAACAAGAUGACCAAUUAUCAUCAACGGAUGAUGAUGAUAAGCAAAUUAAUACUCUAACAAGAGAACAAGAUCUCUUGUUUGAAGCAAUUAAUUCCAUCCCUGACCCCUAAGAAAAGAAGGUUUUUCUGGAAAAACUCAAGAAGACCUUAGAGGUAAAACCUAGACGAAAAGAUUUUAUUACAAACAACAAGUUUGAUGUAAGUAACAUACUUAAGAGAUUAGAAAAUUCUUCAACCAAACCAACGACUAUCCAAGAUCUCCAAACAGAGAUAAACAAUCUAAAAAGAGAAGUAAAAGAACUUCGUCAACAACAAGAAAUUCAUCAGAUCAUUCUUUCUCAGCUUGAGGAAGAAAGUGAUUAUGAAAAUACCAACAAUGAGGAAAAUCAACAAGAAAAUCUAGAAGACGAUAUGUUUAUGGGAUUAAUCAACAAGAUUAAAAUCCAAAAAUUUUACAUAAACAUAAAAAUAAUUAUUAAUUAUUUUGUUCUAGAAACAAUGGCCCUAUUCGACACAGGGGCUGACUCAAACUGUAUUUUAGAAGGAUUAAUUCCUACAAAAUUCUUUGAGAAAACCUCGGAGAAACUUAGUACAACAAACGGCUCAAAAUUAAAAAUUAAUUUUAAAUUAUCAAAUGCAAUUAUUGAAAACCAAGGUCUUAGGAUUAACACAAACUUUCUUCUGGUAAAAAACCUUAAAAACGAAAUAAUCCUAGGAACUCCCUUCAUAAAAGCUUUAUUUCCCAUCCAAAUAUCUAAUGAAGGAAUAACUACAAGUUAUUUAGGAAGGAAAAUUAUAUUUAAUUUUUCUACUAAACCAAUCUCCAGAAAUAUAAAUCUUAUAGAAAAUAAUAUUAACCAAAUUAACUUCUUAAAAGAAGAAGUAUCGUUUAAUAAUAUCCAAGUACAACUAGGAAAACCCCAAAUAAAGGAGAAAAUCCAAUCUUUAUUAAGUCAUAUAGAAUCAACUUUUUGUUCUGAAUUGCCACAUGCAUUUUGGGACAGAAAGAAACAUAUUGUUGAUCUUCCUUAUGAGAAAGGUUUUAGGGAAAAACAAAUUCCCACAAAAGCUAGACCAAUCCAAAUGAAUGAAGAACUCCUUCAAUAUUGCCAAAAGGAAAUUAAAGAUUUACUUGAUAAAGGUUUAAUUCGGAAAAGUAGAAGUCCAUGGUCUUGUGCGGCUUUUUAGGUCAACAAACAAUCCGAGAUUGAGCGAGGAACACCCCGCUUAGUCAUAAAUUACAAACCGUUAAAUCAAGCAUUACAAUGGAUCAGGUAUCCUAUUCCAAAUAAAAAAGACAUACUUAACAGAUUAAAUUCUGCAAAGGUAUUUUCAAAAUUUGACAUGAAAUCCGGAUUCUGGCAAAUCCAAAUCCAAGAAUCAGAUAGGUACAAAACGGCGUUUACUGUACCUUUCGGGCAAUAUGAGUGGAAUGUAAUGCCAUUCGGACUGAAGAAUGCCCCUUCAGAAUUUCAAAAAAUCAUGAAUGAUAUUUUCAAUCCUUAUUCAAAAUUCGUCAUUGUUUACAUUUAUGAUGUUUUAAUCUUCUCCCAAGAUAUUGAUCAACAUUUCAAAAACCUCUAGACUUUCAUCCAUAUCAUUAAACAGAAUGGUUUGGCAGUCUCCAAAUCAAAGAUCAAUCUUUUCCAGACACGGAUACGAUUCCUUGGACACAAUAUAUACCAAGGUACAAUCAUCCCAAUAGAAAGAUCAAUAGAGUUUGCUAGCAAAUUCCCUAACCAAAUCUUGGAUAAGACCCAGUUACAACGAUUUCUGGGGUGCCUAAAUUAUGUAGGAGAAUAUGUCCCCUAUCUAAACAAUAUUGUCAAACCAUUACAUGAUAGGCUGAAAAAGAAUCUGCCUCCUUGGUCUGACCUCCAUACUCAAACAGUUAAAGAAAUCAAAGUCAAAGUCCAAUCUAUAAAAUGUUUGCAUCUUACCAUUCCACGGGCAUUCAAAAUUGUCGAAACUGAUGCAUCAGACAUCGGUUAUGGUGGCAUCCUCAAACAACAAGUACAUGGUCAAGAACAUGUCAUUGCAUAUACUUCAAAACAUUGGAAUCCUGCACAAUUAAAAUAUUCAACUGUUAAAAAAGAAUUUUUAGCAAUUGUUUUAAGCAUUUCCAAAUUUCAAUCUGAUUUAUUGAAUCAAAAAAUUUUAGUAAGGGUUGACUGCAAAUCAGCCAAAGACAUUUUACAAAAGGAUGUCAAAAACCUUGCCUCAAAACAAAUUUUUGCAAGAUGGCAAGCAAUUUUAAGCGUCUUUGAUUUUAACAUAGAAUAUAUCAAGGGCUCUUCAAACUCUCUACCUGACUACCUCACCCGUGAAUUUUUACAGAAAAUUCUCGAUGCCUCCUAAGGUGUCUAGCUCCUCCGGAAGAGGAGGAAGAUCCAGUACUAAAGGAAAAGAUGUUCUAUUGGCUCUACCAGAGCCAAUAACCAAGAAGGCAACUGUGUCAUCUUCUGGGUCACCUACCCAGACUGGGUCAUCAACCCAGAAAGAAAAGCUUGAAGGGUCAUUGACCUAGAUAACUACCAUUAAACCUGAGUCAUCAACUCAGGAAUCCCCAAAACCAACAACAACAAAACAGACCGUGGCUGACUAUGCCUGGUCAAUACAAACUCUCCUGGCCUUAGAAGACAUAGGCCUCACCAGAGUACCAACAUUGGCCAAAAAGACCUGGGCAGAAAUGGCCUCAGAAUCAGACGAUGAUUCUGAAACAGACCUGCAAAAACAAAUUCAAAAAGCCAAACAGACCAAAACUGUCUGUAACCAAAAACCAAGCCAACCGUUGACUCAACGAGAAUCAACACCACAACCCAGCAACAGCUAUAUUUCAAAAAACAAAUUCUUCAAUGUCUUACAAAUGGAACCAGAAUAUUGGGACAAGAAUCCUUUCAAGGCAACCGCCAAAGUAUUCCCCCCGGGAUUUCAUUAUAGGCCAACAGCCACAAACAAAACCAGAAAAUUCUAUGAAUUCAUUCUAAUAGAUACAAACUUCGUAUCUAUUAAACAUUUCAAGGACCCCAAAGAUCCAAAUCUAAACACCCACUCCACAAUCCAGAUCCUAAAGGUGAUGCAGCCACGACAUUAUGGCUCAAACUUAAACCAACCCAAAAAAUUUUCUGCACCUUUUGACCCUGCAGGAUAUAAUUAUUGGGAUUACAUUGACGCCUGGACCAAUGUGUUCUGGCAUCAAAAUAGUAAAUUCAAGCAUUCAUGGCUAAUUUACUUCAAAAAUAACACCGUGUAUAAUUUUCCAAAUUGGUUCCUCCAAUGGUGGAACUACUUCGGACCAAUUCCACAGAUAUUUCCAGAAGAAGUCCAACAGGGAUUCCAACAAUUCAGCAAGCUCUUCAACAGCAAGGAAUCAAGAAUUCCGACAGACUUAAAAUACUUUUCCAGUUUUGCCAUGUCAUGGAUUUUUUCAUGGCAAUACAGAUAUGGAAAAACCGAAAAUAGCAAGCAGUAUCCACCGUUGCAGAGACACGCCUUUGUAAAAUGGUGGUCACAAUUCGAUACCUCAAAUGCUGCUCCAGAACAAGUCAAGAACUGGUUUCAGAGCAACCCUGAGUUUCUCAAACCUGCUGAUCCAGAGACAUCUUUGUUUCUGAAUCAGAAGUCUCAACUUGCAGCAUUCUUGGCAAGCUCAAAAUCUAAAGAAAGUCUUGCUCAGAAUCUUAAGGAAGUUCUCCAACUACUUCAACAGGAAGAAGAAGAAGAACCCCCCAAGAAGGAAGCCGAAUCAUCCGAAAAUAAUGAUGACCAAGAAGAUGAUCCAUUCUACCAGAAUGAGGAUGACUGUUUUGGUAUAUCGUUAGACGAUGAUUAGUUAGUUGUAGUAAUAAUGAAUUAUUGUAACUAAUUACUCGGUACCUGAUAAUAAUGUAAUGUGUAAAAAGUUUUUGUAACAGUUCCGGUAAACAUUACCGACACUAUAGAUACAGUAAAAUCUUGGGAAGAAUGAAAGAUAUCAAUCAAAACAUAGAUGACUGGAACAUCCCAGAAAACAUGGAUGACCCAAGAGGUCGCCCCUAAACACAAUCUCUUCGAUGAGGAAGUCCGAUUCGAAGAUAUCAAUCAAAACAUGGAUGACUGGAACAUCCCAAAAAUCCCUCAGGAUGAACUAUACGUUCCUGAAACAAUGAAAGAUAAACACAACUUUGAUUACAUAAUCAAAACAGUAGAAAACAAUACUCCUCUAGGGCAAGACAUAGGGGAAGAAUUCCAUUUACUUUCAAAAAAUUCAAUUUAUGAACAUAGUUGAAAGUAUAAAUAUUUACACAUCGGCUAUGUACAAGUAGCCAUCAAGCCCUUAAUAGACAUUGGCUUUUGUCAUAUCCGUAAUAAACAAGGUUGUUUCUCCCUUUUGUGGUUGCAACAGGACUCUAGAGGCACAAGUGUUCAUGACCUUGUACUGGAUCCUAUAGAUUAAAGCCGCUGGGAUUGAUCCUUCUUUCAUGUCAAGGCCUGCAGACCUAUCUUUCCAUAAGGAUGGGUCUCCAAUAAAAUGUUGAGCUAUUGUAAAAAUUAAGGUAUUGACAGCGUCAGGAAUCUCUUUAUCAUCGUCAUUAGUAAUGACUUUUCCGUUGAGAUCCGUUUUGACUGCGCUGUAAAUUUUUUAUUUCUCCUCAUUAGUGAGAUAAUUAUCCUACCAUCCUUUCAGUUGUCCAGAAAACCCUGCCACUAAGAUGUCUAUAAUGGUUUCUUCUGAACAUUCGUGGGAGGUUUGGUAAGCCGUAGCUACCAUGGUCAUAUGUUGGAGUGUAUUCAUGAUAUUAUACUCCGUUUGUGCAUCUAUGUUCCAUUCAUAGAUGUUGUUUGCACUAAAACUCUUGAAAUUGUUUUCUCCUCUUUCUUCUAAUAGAAGGUCAGGGGCAGUUGGACGUUGAUAAUAUAAUUUGGAAGGUGUUUUCCAAUGUUUGGAAUUAAUUAGAUUUAUAUUCUUUUCUGACACUGAUCCUAUCUCAGUUGUGUUAUCUGAGUUUUGGUCACUAUCUUCAUUAAUGACAUUAAUUAAUUUGGAGGUACUUCUUGUUACCAUUUUGGAAGUAUUUUCCGAGGUUUGGGGAGUUUCUGGAAUGACCUUAAGUAAACUACCAAUCUUGUUUAGUAAUUCACUAUGAUUGUCACCUACUCCUUCAACUAAGGAUUUAGUUUUCCUAAGUUCUCUAAUCUUUCGUUUAGCUUUUUCACUAACUUUGAAAGGUUUGAACAGUGGUUUUUCAAUGGGAAUACUUGGAGAGGAUUCUUCAACCGAUUUUUGCUUAGGAACUACCUUAGUUUUAAUGGUUUCUCCUAAAAUUUGUAAAUAUUUAUUGGUGUAGUUUGCCUGUUCCAUUAGGCUUUUAAUAUCUUCAGAGGUUACUUCCUCAUUAAUAUCUUUUGUUUUAAAUGGGGUUGCCAUUACAGGUUUGUUGUUACUAUCUUUGAUAUUCGGGAGUUGAUAUUUGGUCAUGGGAGGUAAUUCCGAUUGGAUCAUCUCACCAUCUCUUACUUGCCAGUUGGUUAUAACAUUUGUUGAUGGAUCACCUAUGAUGUCUUGCUUCCAUGGGUAAUCUAUAUAUUUUCUUAUGCUGUAAGCAUGGAACCAAUCAAAGAAAAGGACAUUAACUUUGACCCUUUCGACAAAUUCGUAGAACUUGUCUUGGAUCUAUUUUCUGUUUGUACCCUUGUAAUUCUGGAAAAACCAUCUCCUUUGAGGCUCAUUCUUCGGAGAAUAAAAAUCUUUCCUAAGGGUUUCCUUAUCAAUGCUAAAGUUGUCAGAUAACAUCAUAAGGUUCCAUAGAAGAGUAUGUUGGGGAUUGGAUCGACUUUUGGUCGUCCUCCUGAUCUUGGUUAUAGGUUGUUCUUGGUAUGCUGGAAGUGGUAUCUAGUCCUUGGAGGUUUACAGUAGGGAACUGGUUAUGUAACUUAGAUCUGGUUAUACCUACUAGGAUUGAACGGGUUCUAACCGAAAAAGACCUUCUGGCUGACUUGUAUUCAGACCUAGAGGCUUCUAUCCUUCAUGAGAAGGAAUUUAUCCUAUUGAAGGUUAUUUCUACCUUUCCGGAGUUAUCCUGUUUAAUGUCCUCAAUAAUUGGAACGGGUCGGGGAUCAGACGGUGUGGCCUUCUCCAUGACCCAUUUUUCGGGGAGAGUUACUUCAUCCCAUUUUAUUAUUCUUUUUAAAGAGACGUUGGCUUUUGUCAUAUCGGUAAUAAACAAGGUUGUUUCUCCCUUUUGUGGUUGCAACAGGACUCUAGAGGCACAAGUGUUCAUGACCUUGUACUGGAUCCUAUAGAUUAAAGCCGUUGGGAUUGAUCCUUCUUUCAUGUCAAGGCCAUGAAAGUGGAUGUUUAAGAACAGAGAGUCGAGAAUGUUUCUGUCCAUCAGACUCACUGUUUUGUUUGGAUAACAAUUAAAAUAUACUGGACCCUGUCCUAGGCUAGUUUCGACUGUUCCAAUUAAGGAGUCUUCAAAUUUAUUAUGCCUAAUAUCUCUUAGACACAUUAACACUGCUGCAUCUAUGCCCAUGUCUAUUAAGGGCUUGAUGGCUACUUGUACACAGCCGAUGUGUAAAUAUUUAUACUUUCGACUAUGUUCAUAAAUUGAAUUUUUUGAAAGUAAAUGGAAUUCUUCCCCUAUGUCUUGCCCUAGAGGAAUAUUGUUUUCUACUGUUUUGAUUAUGUAAUCAAAGUUGUGUUUAUCUUUCAUUGUUUCAGGAACGUAUAGUUGAUCCUGAGGGAUUUCUGGGAUGUUCCAGUCAUCCAUGCUUUGAUUGAUAUCUUCGAAUCGGACUUCCUCAUCGAAGAGAUUGUGUUUAGGGGCGACCUCUUGGGUCUGGUUAUCUUGAUCACUUAAUAAGUUUGAAUUUCUGGAAGAAGUUGAUGAAGAGGAAUUAGACCGAAAGGAAAUACGUGAAAAAGAACGCAGGAGUUUAGACAUGAUUAUAAAAUCCUCUAAUAUCUUCGCCCUCAUUUGGUUCCAUAGAAAUAUUUCCGUAAGUAUAUACGUAACAAAAUUUUUCAGGAUCUGAAUUAUUUUUAAGAAAAAACUCUUUUUUUUUAAUUAGUUUGAACGGCAAUCCUAUAGCCACCAGUAUAUUAUGUCUUGAUAUUUUGGUUAAACAGUACACCUCAGCCUUACUGCCCUUUAUCCACCACGGGUCUUACUGCUACAGUACCACUCAACUAAAAUAUUAGACUGUUGUACUUCCAGGAAGUACUGUUCAAACAUCUACUGUACAAAUUAAAAUAUAAUAUUACUCAUACUAUACAAGGUUUCAGUUUCAGAUCCAUAAAAUUUGUUAACAUACGUCCUUACGGACAGUAUUCCUACUUCCCCAUCAGGCUCUGAUACCAGAGAUCAGUAGAAUAAGAUCAAACGGAUAGAUAGGAAGUAAGAAUGCAGUAUGAUAAAUGAAAGGAAAAUAUAAACUUGUAAAACAGAUAUCAAGGGCACACCGGAAUCCGGCUUACAAAUCCCAGGUUUUCGAAAACAAAGAAACCGAAGUGGCGGCAGAGCCACACAGGAUCGGUGUAGGUUUUCGAAAACCAAGAAACCGAAACGGCGGCAGAGCCGCACAGGAUCGGUGAAGGGAGAAGGGAGAUGUGAAAAAUAGAACUUUGAAUUUAUUUCAAUCAAAAGAAAAGCUUACAAAGAGUUUUUCCCUAGGCAGAGCUUCUCUCUCUAAAACCUGGUUAUGAGACUAUUUGAAAGGGUGCCUCACAAAGGGAACGAGGACUCCUUUAAAUAGACCCAAGAUUUUACUGUAUCUACCGUGUCGGUAAUGUUUACCAGAACUGUUACAAAAACUUUUUACAAAUUACAUUAUUAUCGGGUACCGAGUAAUUAGUUACAAUAAUUCAUGAUUACUACAACUAACUAAUCAUCGUCUAACGAUAUACCAAAACAGUCAUCCUCAUUCUGGUAGAAUGGAUCAUCUUCUUGGUCAUCAUUAUUUUCGGAUGAUUCGGCUUCCUUCUUGGGGGGUUCUUCUUCUUCUUCCUAUUGAAGUAGUUGGAGAACUUCCUUAAGAUUCUGAGUAAGACUUUCUUUAGAUUUUGAGCUUGCCAAAAAUGCUACAAGUUGAGACUUCUGAUUCAGAAACAAAGAUGUCUCUGGAUCAGCAGGUUUGAGAAACUCAGGGUUGCUCUGAAACCAGUUCUUGACUUGUUCUGGAGCAGCCUUUGAGGUAUCGAAUUGUGACCACCACUUUACAAAGGUGUGUCUCUGCAAUGGUGGAUACUGCUUGCUAUUUUCGGUUUUUCCAUAUCUGUAUUGCCAUGAAAAAAUCCAUGACAAGGAAAAACUGGAAAAGUAUUUUAAGUCUGUCGGAAUUCUUGAUUCCUUGUUGUUGAAGAGCUUGCUGAAUUGUUGGAAUCCCUGUUGGACUUCUUCUGGAAAUAUCUGUGGAAUUGGUCCGAAGUAGUUCCACCAUUGGAGGAACCAAUUUGGAAAAUUAUACACGGUGUUAUUUUUGAAGUAAAUUAGCCAUGAAUGCUUGAAUUUACUAUUUUGAUGCCAGAACACAUUGGUCCAGGCGUCAAUGUAAUCCCAAUAAUUAUAUCCUGCAGGGUCAAAAGGUGCAGAAAAUUUUUUGGGUUGGUUUAAGUUUGAGCCAUAAUGUCGUGGCUGCAUCACCUUUAGGAUCUGGAUUGUGGAGUGGGUGUUUAGAUUUGGAUCUUUGGGGUCCUUGAAAUGUUUAAUAGAUACGAAGUUUGUAUCUAUUAGAAUGAAUUCAUAGAAUUUUCUGGUUUUGUUUGUGGCUGUUGGCCUAUAAUGAAAUCCCGGGGGGAAUACUUUGGCGGUUGCCUUGAAAGGAUUCUUGUCCCAAUAUUCUGGUUCCAUUUGUAAGACAUUGAAGAAUUUGUUUUUUGAAAUAUAGCUGUUGCUGGGUUGUGGUGUUGAUUCUCGUUGAGUCAACGGUUGGCUUGGUUUUUGGUUACAGACAGUUUUGGUCUGUUUGGCUUUUUGAAUUUGUUUUUGCAGGUCUAUUUCAGAAUCAUCGUCUAAUUCUGAGGCCAUUUCUGCCCAGGUCUUUUUGGCCAAUGUUGGUACUCUGGUGAGGCCUAUGUCUUUUAAGGCCAGGAGAGUUUGUAUUGACCAGGCAUAGUCAGCCACGGUCUGUUUUGUUGUUGUUGGUUUUGGGGAUUCCUGAGUUGAUGACUCAGGUUUAAUGGUAGUUAUCUGGGUCAAUGACCCUUCAAGCUUUCCUUUCUGGGUUGAUGACCCAGUCUGGGUAGGUGACCCAGAAGAUGACGCAGUUGCCUUCUUGGUUAUUGGCUCUGGUAGAGCCAAUAGAACAUCUUUUCCUUUAGUACUGGAUCUUCCUCCUCUGCCGGAGGAGCUAAACACCUUAGGAGGCAUCGGGAAUUUUCUAUAAAAAUUCACGGGUGAGGUAGUCAGGUAGAGAGUUUGAAGAGCCCUUGAUAUAUUCUAUGUUAAAAUCAAAGACGCUUAAAAUUGCUUGCCAUCUUGCAAAAAUUUGUUUUGAGGCAAGGUUUUUGACAUCCUUUUGUAAAAUGUCUUUGGCUGAUUUGCAGUCAACCCUUACUAAAAAAUUUUGAUUCAAUAAAUCAUAUUGAAAUUUGGAAAUGCACAAAACAAUUGCUAAAACUUCUUUUUUUAACAGUUAAAUAUUUUAAUUGUGCAGGAUUCCAAUGUUUUGAAGUAUAUGCAAUGACAUGUUCUUCACCAUGUACUUGCUGUUUGAGGAUGCCACCAUAACCGAUAUCUGAUGCAUCAGUUUCGACAAUUUUGAAUGCCUGUGGAAUGGGAAGAUACACACAUUUUAUGGAUUGGACUUUGACUUUGAUUUCUUUAACUGUUUGAGUAUGGAGGUCAGACCAAGGAGGCGGAUUCUUUUUCAACCUAUCAUGUAAUGGUUUGACAAUAUUGUUUAGAUAGGGGACAAAUUCUCCUACAUAAUUUAGGCACCCCAGAAAUCGUUGUAACUGGGUCUUAUCCAAGAUUUGGUUAGGGAAUUUGCUAGCAAACUCUAUUGAUCUUUCUAUUGGGAUGAUUGUACCUUGGUAUAUAUUGUGUCCAAGGAAUCGUAUCCGUGUCUGGAAAAGAUUGAUCUUUGAUUUGGAGACUGCCAAACCAUUCUGUUUAAUGAUAUGGAUGAAAGUCUGGAGGUGUUUGAAAUGUUGAUCAAUAUCUGGGGAGAAGAUUAAAACAUCAUCAAUGUAAACAAUGACGAAUUUUGAAUAAGAAUUGAAAAUAUCAUUCAUGAUUUUUUGAAAUUCUGAAGGGGCAUUCUUCAGUCCGAAUGGCAUUACAUUCCACUCAUAUUGCCCGAAAGGUACAGUAAACGCCGUUUUGUACCUAUCUGAUUCUUGGAUUUGGAUUUGCCAGCAUCCGGAUUUCAUGUCAAAUUUUGAAAAUACCUUUGCAGAAUUUAAUCUGUUAAGUAGGUCUUUUUUAUUUGGAAUAGGAUACCUGAUCCAUUGUAAUGCUUGAUUUAACGGUUUGUAAUUUAUGACUAAGCGUGGUGUUCCUCGCUCAAUCUCGGAUUGUUUGUUGACAUAAAAAGCCGCACAAGACCAUGGACUUUUACUUUUCCGAAUUAAACCUUUAUCAAGUAAAUCUUUAAUUUACUUUUGGCAAUAUUGAAGGAGUUCUUCAUUCAUUUGGAUUGGUCUAGCUUUUGUGGGAAUUUUUUUUCCCUAAAAUAUUUCUGAUAAGGAAGAUCAACAAUAUGUUUCUUUCUGUCCCAAAAUGCAUGUGGCAAUUCAGAACAAACAGUUGAUUCUAUAUGACUUAAUAAAGAUUGGAUUUUCUCCUUUAUUUGGGGUUUUCCUAGUUGUACUUGGAUAUUAUUAAACGAUACUUCUUCUUUUAAGAAGUUAAUUUGGUUAAUCUUAUUUUCUAUAAGAUUUAUAUUUCUGGAGAUUGGUUUAGUAGAAAAAUUAAAUAUAAUUUUCCUUCCUAAAUAACUUGUAGUUAUUCCUUCAUUAGAUAUUAGGAUGGGAAAUAAAGCUCUUAUGAAGGGAGUUCCUAGGAUUACUUCGUUUUUAAGGUUUUUUACCAGAAGAAAGUUUGUGUUAAUCCUAAGACCUUGGAUUUCAAUAAUUGCAUUUGAGAAUUUAAAAUUAAUUUUUAAUUUUGAGCCGUUUGUUGUACUAAGUUUCUCCGAGGUUUUCUCAAAGAAUUUUGUAGGAAUUAAUCCUUCUAAAAUACAGUUUGAGUCAGCCCCUGUGUCGAAUAGGGCCAUUGUUUCUAGAACAAAAUCAUUAAUAAUUAUUUUUAUGUUUAUGUAAAAAUUUUGGAUUUUAAUCUUGUUGAUUAAUCCCAUAAACAUAUCGUCUUCUAGAUUUUCUGGUUGAUUUUCCUCACUGUUGGUAUUUUCAGAAUCACUUUCUACCUCAAGCUGAGAAAGAAUGAUCUGAUGAAUUUCUUGUUGUUGACGAAGUUCUUUUACUUCUCUUUUUAGAUUGUUUAUCUCUGUUUGGAGAUCUUGGAUAGUCAUUGGUUUGGUUGAAGAAUUUUCUAAUCUCUUGAGUAUGUUACUUACAUCAAACUUGUUGUUUGCAAUAAAAUCUUUUUGUCUAGGUUUUACCUCUAAGGUCUUCUUGAGUUUUUCCAGAAAAACCUUCUUUUCUUGGGGGUCAGGGAUGGAAUUAAUUGCUUCAAACAAGAGAUCUUGUUCUCUUGUUAGAGUAUUAAUUUGCUUAUCAUCAUCAUCCGUUGAUGAUAAUUGGUCAUCUUGUUGAAUUAAGUUUAGAUUUUCGUCGGAAAAUACGGAGGAUGAAGUUUCAGUUUCAGUUUCUUCCUCUGAAGUUUCUAUGAGUAAAUUGUUUAUUUGUUCUUCGAUUGUGGGUUCUAGGUUAAGGUUCCUUAAUUUUUUUCUUUAGUCUACAAUACUUACUAAUGUGGCCUUGUUUUCCACAAUUGUAGCAUGUUAUUUUUGAUUUUAUUUUUUGCUUAGGAUUUUCUAUUUCCUUACUAGUUGAGGGUUUUUGAGAGUAUCUUCUUUUUGAAAAUCUUCUUCUAUUGGCUGGUUUAUGAUCCUGGAUUUCUUUCCUAGAGGUUUGUUUCUUCUUUUGUUUUGGGCAGGCUGGUAAGCCAAAUUAUUCACAGAAGGAACCUAAAUCCUUCUUUGUUUGAGCUUUUUCUUUGGCUAAUUGCCUCUGAAUUUUGUCAUCCUGGCAGAUUUUUAAGGCUACCUUUUGGACAUAGGAAAUUAAUUGGCCAUAGCUUAAGUUUUCAUAUGGAAUGUCUCCAUUGGCAGAUUGACUAAGAAAACAAUUUUAAGAGUUUUAGUGCAAACAACAUCUAUGAAUGGAACAUAGAUGCACAAACGGAGUAUAAUAUCAUGAAUACACUCCAACAUAUGACCAUGGUAGCUACGGCUUACCAAUCCUCCCAUGAAUGUUCAGAAGAAACCAUUAUAGACAUCUUAGUGGCAGAGUUUUCUGGACAACUGAAAGGAUGGUGGGAUAAUUAUCUCACUAAUGAGGAGAAAUAAAAAAUUUACAGCGCAGUCAAAACGGAUCUCAACGGAAAAUUCAUUACUAAUGAUGAUGAUAAAGAGAAUCCUGACGCUGUCAAUACCUUAAUUUUUACAAUAGCACAAAAUUUUAUUGGAGACCCAUCCUUAUGGAAAGAUAGGUCUGCAGAAUUAUUAUCAAACCUUAAGUGUAGAACCUUAGCAGAUUUUAGGUGGUACAGAGAUACUUUCCUAACUAGGGUUUACACCAGAGAAGAUAGUCAACAACCAUUCUGGAAAGAAAAAUUUCUAGCUGGUCUUCCCAGAUCAUUAGGAGACAAGGUUAGGGAUAAAAUUUGCAGUCAACCCUUACUAUAUAUAUAUAUAUAUAUGUAGUUUACUUAAGGUCAUUCCAGAUACUCCCCAAGCCUCGGAAAAUACUUCCAAAAUAGUAACAAGAAGUACCUCCAAAUUAAUUAAUGUUAUUAAUGAAGAUAGUGACCGAAAUUCAGAUAACACAACUGAGAUAGGAUCAGUGUCAGAAAAGAAUAUAAAUCCAAUUAAUUCCAAACACUGGAAAACACCCUCCAAAUUAUAUUAUCAACGUCCAACUGCCCCUGACCUUCUAUUAGAAGAAAGAGGUGAAAAUAAUCGAAACCAGCCUAGGUCAAGGUCCAAUAUAUUUUAACUGUUAUCCAAACCAAACAGUGAGUCUGAUGGACAGAAACAUUCUUGACUCUCUGUUCUUAAACAUCCACUUUCAUGGCCUUGACAUGAAAGAAGGAUCAAUCCCAACAGCCUUAAUUUAUAGGAUCCAGUACAAAGUCAUGAAUACUUGUGCAUCUAGAGUCCUGUUAAAACCUCAAAAAGGAGAAACAACUUUGUUUAUCACUGAUAUGACAAAGGCUAAUGUUUCUCUCCCGAGAAAAAUAAAAUGGGAUGAAGUAACUCUUCCCGAAAGAUGGGUUAUGGAUAAAGCAACACCGUCUAUUCCCCGACCCGCUCCAACCAUAGAGCAUAUUAAGCAAGAUAACUCCGGAAAGGUAGAGAUAACCUUCAAUAGGAGAAAUUCUUUUUCAUCAAGGAUAGAAGCCUCUAGGUCUGAAUAUGAAUCAGCCAGAAGGUCUUUUUCGGUUAGAACCCGUUCAAUUCCAGUAGGACUAAUCAGAUCUGAGUCACAUAACCAGUUCCCUACUGUAAACCUCCAAGGAUUAGACACUACCUCUAGCAUACCUAGAACAACUUACAACCAAGAACAAGAGGACGACCAAAAGUCGAUCCAAUCCCCAACAUACUCUUCUAUGGAACCUUAUGAUGUUAUCUGACAACUUUAGCAUUGAUAAGGAAACCCUUAGGAAAGAUUUCUAUUCUCCGGAUAAUGAACCUCAAAGGAGAUGGUUUUUCCAACAUUACAAGGGUACAAACAGAAAACAAGUCCAAGACAAGUUCUACGAAUUUGUCGAAAGAGUCAAAAUUAAUGUCCUUUUCUUUGAUUGGUUUCAUGUUUAUGCCAUCAGAAAGGAUAUAGAUUACCCUUGGAAACAAGACAUCAUAGGUGAUCCAACAACAAAUGUCAUAACAAACUGGCAAGUGAAGGAUGGUGAGUUAAUCCAAUCGGAAUUACCUCCCACAACACAAUAUCAACUACCAAAUAUCAAAGACAGUAACAAUAAACCUGUCAUGGCAAUUCCAUUCAAGACAAAAGAUGUCAACGAGGAAGUAACCUCUAAAGACAUCAAAAGCCUAAUGGAACAGGAAAAUUAUACCAAUAAAUACUUACAAGCUUUAAGAGAAACCAUUAAAACUAAGGUAGUUCCUAAACAAAAAUCAAUUGAGGAAGCUUCGCCAAGUGUCCCCAUUGAAAAACCUUUAUUCAAACCUUUCAAAGUUAGUGAGAAGGCUAAACGAAAAAUUAGGGAACUUAGAAAAACUAAAUCCUUAACUGAAGGCGUAGGUGACAAUCAUAGUGAAUUACUAAACAAGAUUGGUAGUUUACUUAAGGUCAUUCCAGAUACUCCCCAAGCCUCGGAAAAUACUUCCAAAAUAGUAACAAGAAGUACCUCCAAAUUAAUUAAUGUUAUUAAUGAAGAUAGUGACCAAAAUUCAGAUAACACAACUGAGAUAGGAUCAGUGUCAGAAAAGAAUAUAAAUCCAAUUAAUUCCAAACACUGGAAAACACCCUCCAAAUUAUAUUAUCAACGUCCAACUGCCCUUGACCUUCUAUUAGAAGAAAGAGGUGAAAACAAUUUUAAAAGUUUUAGUGCAAAUAACAUCUAUGAAUGGAACAUAGAUGCACAAACGGAGUAUAACAUCAUGAAUACACUCCAACAUAUGACCAUGGUAGCCACGGCUUACCAAACCUCCCAUGAAUGUUCAGAAGAAACAAUUAUAGAUAUCUUAGUGGCAGGAUUUUCUGGACAACUAAAAGGAUGGUGGGAUAAUUAUCUCACUAAUGAGGAGAAAUAAAAAAUUUACAGCGCAGUUAAGACGGAUCUCAAUGGAAAAGUCAUUACUAAUGACGAUGAUAAAGAGAUUCCUGACGCUGUUAACACAUUAAUUUUUACAAUAGCCCAACAUUUCAUUGGAGACCCAUCCUUGUGGAAAGAUAGGUCUACAAAAAUAUUAUCAAAUCUUAAGUGUAGAACCUUAGCGGAUAUUAGGUUGUAUAGAGAUAUUUUCCUAACUAGGGUUUACACAAGAGAAGAUAGUCAACAACCUUUUUGGAAAGAAAAAUUUCUAGCCGGUCUUCCCAGAUCAUUAGGAGACAAGGUUAGAGAUAAAAUCCGUAGUCAAUCUGCCAAUGGAGACAUUCCAUAUGAAAACAUAAGCUAUGGUCAAUUAAUUUCCUAUGUCCAAAAGGUAGCCUUAAAAAUCUGCCAGGACGACAAAAUUCAGAGGCAAUUAGCCAAAGAAAAAGCUCAAACAAAGAGGGAUUUAGGUUCCUUCUGUGAACAAUUUGGCUUACCAGCCUGUCCAAAACAAAAGAAAAAACAGACCUCUAGGAAAGAAGCCCAGGAUCAUAAGCCAGCCAAUAGAAGAAGAUUUUCAAAACAAAGAUACUCUCAAAAACCCGCAACCAGUAGAGAAAUGGAAAAUCCUAAACAAAAAAUAAAAUAAAAAAUAACGUGCUACAAUUGUGGAAAACAAGGCCACAUUAGCAAAUAUUGUAGACUAAAAAAGAAGUUAAGAAACCUUAACCUAGAACCCGCAAUUGAAGAGCAAAUAAACAAUUUGCUCAUAGAAACCUCGGAGGAGGAAACAGAAACUUCAUCCUCCGCGCUUUCCAAUGAAAACCUAAACCUAAUCCAACAAGAUGACCAACUAUCAUCAACAGAUGAUGAUGGGCAAAUCAAUACUCUAACGAGAGAACAAGAUCUCUUGUUUGAAGCAAUCAAUUCCAUACCUGACCCCCAGGAAAAGAAGGUUUUCCUGGAAAAACUCAAGAAAACAUUAGAGGUAAAGCCUAGACAAAAGGAUUUUAUCACGAACAACAAAUUUGAUGUAAGUAACAUACUCAAGAGAUUAGAAAAUUCUUCAACCAAACCAACGACAAUCCAAGAUCUCCAAACAGAGAUAAACAAUCUAAAAAGAGAGGUAAAAGAACUUCGUCAACAACAAGAAAUUCAUCAGAUCAUUCUUUCUCAGCUCGAGGAAGAUAGUGAUUCUGAAAGUGCCAACAACGGUGAAGAAAAUCAACCAGAAAAUUUAGAAGAUGAUAUGUUUAUGGGAUUAAUCAACAAGAUUAAAAUCCAAAAAUUUUACAUAAACAUAAAAAUAAUUAUUAAUGAUUUCGUUUUAGAAACAAUUGCCCUAUUUGACACAGGGGCUGAUUCAAACUGCAUUUUAGAAGGAUUUAUUCCUACAAAAUUCUUUGAGAAAACCUCAGAAAAAUUAAGUACGGCAAACGGCUCAAAAUUAAAAAUUAAUUUUAAGCUAUCAAAUGCAAUCAUUGAAAACCAAGGUCUUAGGAUUAACACAAACUUUCUUCUGGUAAAAACCUUAAGAAUGAAGUAAUCUUAGGAACGCCCUUCAUUAGAGCCCUGUUUCCCAUCCAAAUAUCUAAUGAAGGAAUAACCACAAAUUAUUUAGGAAGAAAAAUUAUAUUUAAUUUUUCUACUAAACCAAUUUCCAGAAAUAUAAAUCUUAUAGAAAAUAAGAUUAAUCAAAUUAACUUCUUAAAAGAAGAAGUAUCUUUUAAUAAUAUUCAGAUACAACUGGGAAAACCCCAAGUAAAAGAAAGAAUUCAAUCUUUAUUAAAUCAUAUUGAAUCGACCGUUUGUUCUGAAUUGCCACAUGCAUUUUGGGACAGAAAGAAAGAUAUUGUCGAUCUCCCUUAUGAGAAAGACUUUAGGGAAAAACAAAUUCCCACAAAAGCCAGACCAAUCCAAAAGAAUGAAGAACUUCUUCAAUACUGUCAAAAGGAAAUCAAGGAUUUGCUUGAUAAAGGCCUAAUCCGGAAAAGCAAGAGCCCAUGGUCUUGUGCGGCUUUUUAUGUCAACAAACAAUCUGAGAUUGAGCGUGGAACACCCCGCUUAGUCAUAAAUUGCAAACCACUAAAUCAAGCAUUACAAUGGAUUAGAUAUCCUAUUCCAAACAAAAAAGAUUUGCUUAACAAAUUAAAUUCUGCAAAGAUAUUUUCAAAAUUUGAUAUGAAAUCUGGAUUUUGGCAAAUCCAAAUCCAAGAACCAGAUAGGUACAAAACAGCGUUUACUGUACCUUUCGGGCAAUAUGAAUGGAACGUAAUGCCAUUCGGACUGAAGAAUGCCCCUUCAGAAUUUCAAAAAAUUAUGAAUGAUAUUUUUAAUCCCUAUUCAAAAUUUGUCAUUGUCUACAUAGAUGAUGUUUUAAUCUUUUCCCAAAACAUUGACCAACAUUUCAAACAUCUCCAAACCUUCAUCCAUAUCAUCAAACAAAAUGGUUUGGCAGUCUCCAAAUCAAAAAUCAAUCUUUUCCAAACACGAAUUCGAUUCCUUGGUCACAAUAUAUAUCAAGGUACAAUCAUUCCAAUCGAAAGGUCAAUAGAGUUUGCUAGCAAAUUCCCCAACCAAAUCUUAGACAAAACCCAGUUACAAAGAUUUCUAGGUUGUCUAAAUUACGUAGGUGAAUUUGUCCCCUACUUAAAUAAUAUUGUCAAGCCAUUACAUGAUAGACUGAAGAAAAAUCCGCCUCCUUGGUCUGACCUCCAUACACAAACAGUUAAAGAAAUCAAAGUCAAAGUCCAAUCCAUUAAAUGUCUGUAUCUUCCUAUUCCACAGGCAUUCAAAAUUGUCGAAACUGAUGCUUCAGACAUAGGUUAUGGUGGCAUCCUCAAACAAAGAGUCCAUGGCCAAGAUCAUGUCAUUGCAUAUACAUCAAAACAUUGGAAUCCUGCACAAUUAAAAUAUUCAACUGUUAAAAAAGAGGUUUUAGCAAUUGUUUUGUGCAUUUCCAAAUUUCAAUCGGAUUUAUUAAACCAAAAAUUUUUAAUCAGGGUUGAUUGUAAAUCAGCCAAAGAUAUUUUACAGAAAGAUGUUAAAAACCUUGCCUCAAAACAAAUUUUUGCACGAUGGCAAGCAAUUUUAAGUGUCUUUGAUUUUGACAUAGAAUACAUCAAGGGCACCUCAAAUUCACUACCUGACUACCUUACCCGUGAAUUCUUACAGAAAAGUGGUAAUGCCUCCUAAGGCAUCGGGAAUCUCCCUACGGGGAGGAAGGAGUACAGGCAAAGGAGCCAGGCUGGCUCUUCCAGAGCCAACCAUCAAGAAAUCAUCUACCUCAUCUGGGUCACCAACCCAGGCUGGGUCAUCUACCCAGAAAACCAAUUUAGAAGGGUCAUCAACCCAGAUUGCCUCAAUCAAACCUGAGCCAUCCACUCAGGAAUCUCCCAAACCGGCAACCGCCAAACAAACAUCGGCCGACUAUGCAUGGCCAAUUGAAACCCUUCAGGCCCUUCAAGACAUGGGUCUGACCAAAUUUCCAAAAAUAAUCAAAAAAUCUUGGGCAGACAUUGCCUCAGAAUCUGAUGAUGAAUCUGAAUCAAAUUUACAAACAAUGAUCCAAAAUGCGUCAAUGACCAAAACAACCACCAAUACUAAAGGAAAACUACCUUUAGCCAAAGCUCAAACACCACCUACCAAACAAACUAACAAUUAUAUUUAUAAAAAUAAAUUGUUAACUGUUUUGCAGAUGGAACCUGAAUUUUGGGACAAAAAUCCCUUCAAGGCGACGGCCAAGGCUUUCCCACCAGGAUUUCACUACAAACCAACCACUAUCCUGAAGACAAGAACUUUUUAUGAAUUGAUUUUGGUAGAUUCGAACUCAGUAUCUAUCAAACAUUUCAAAGAUCCAAAAGACCAAACCUUAAACACCCACUCAACCAUCCAAAUACUAAAAGUUCUUCAACCAAGACACUUUGGUUCGGACUUGAACAAAGGAAAGAGAUUUUCAGUUCCAUUUGAUCCAGUAGGUUAUACCUAUUGGGAUUACGUUGAUGCUUGGACUAAGGUGUUUUGGCACCAAAAUACCCGCUUCAAACAUUCAUGGCUGAUAUAUUUCAAGACCAACACAAUUUACAAUUUUCCCAAUUGGUUUUUGCAAUGGUGGGACUUCUUUGGACCAAUCCCAGAGAUAUUCCCAGAAACGGUCCAACAAGGAUUUUCCCAAUUUAAGAAACAAUACAAUUCGCAGGAAUCACGAAUUCCAGCAGAUCUUAAAUACUUUUCAAGCUUUGCACUGUCAUGGAUAUUCUCAUGGCAAUAUCGUUACAGCAAGACUGAGAAGACAAACCAAUAUCCAUCACUACAAAGGCACGCAUUUGUAAAAUGGUGGACACAAUUUGACUCAUCCAAAGCGGAUGCAGAACAAGUAAAACUAUGGUUCCAAUCCCAUCCAGAAUUCCUCAAAGCAGCUGAUCCAGAGACUUCUGUGUUUUUGAACCAAAAGUCUCAUCUGGCAGCAUUUUUAGCAGGAUCGACAUCAAAGGAGGUCUUAGCUAAAAAUCUGAAGGAAGUUCUACAAAUGUUACAACAGGAAGAAGAAGCUUCAUCCUCAAAGAAGGAAGAAACAAGUUCUGCUGAAGAAGACGAAGAAGAUCCCUUUUACCAAAACGAAGAUGAUUGUUUUGGUAUCUGUUUAGAUUAAAUUUAAUUUCGGUCACAAAACCGUCUGUUUGUAAUUAAUGUGUAAUUAAUGCUGGACAAUACUACCUGUCCUGUAGCCAUUAAAGUCCCGGUCAAAACUACUUGUCUUGUAACAAACAGUCAAAUAGUCCCGGUCAAAACUACCGGCAACUACCGGUCUUAGAUUUUUGGCUAUAUAAGGAGUCCUCAAGCAUGUUGUGAGGCACCCUUUCAUUUAGCCAUUUUUCCAGGUUUCGGAAGAGAGGUGCUCUGAAACAAGAUUUUUGUAAGCGCUUCUUUCUAGAUUCAAUAAAUUUCUAUUUUUCAUCCUUCUCUCUUCUCCCUUCACCGAUCCUGUGCGGCUCUGCCGCCGCUUCGGUUUCUUUGUUUAUGAAAACCUGGGUUUUGUAAGCCGGUCUCCGGUGUGACCUUGAUAUCUGUUUUCAAAGUUUAUAUUUUCAUCAAAUAUACUGCAUUCUUACUUCCUAUCUGUCCGUUGAUCUUACUCCGCUGACCUCUGGUAUCAGAGCCUGAUGGGGAAGUAGGAAUAGUGUCCGUAAGGGCAUAUGUUAACUGAACUUAUGGAUCUGAAGCAUGUACAGUAAUUUUAAUUUAAACAGUAUGUGUUUGAACAGUAUUUUCUGGAAGCACAGCAGUCUGAUAUUUUAGUUGAAUGAUAUUGUAGCAGUAAGUCCCGUGGAUGAGAAAGCGCAGUAAGGCUAAGGUGUAUUGUUCAAAUAAAAUAUGGAGACAUAAUAUACUGGUGGCUAUAGGAGUAAUGUUCAAACUAUAUUGUCUGUGAAAAAAAAAAAUCUUCUUUUUCAUUUAUUCAGAUCCAAGAAGUUCUGUAACAUAUAGCCUUAUGGAAAGAUUCCUAUGGAACCAAAUGAAGGCAAAGAUAUUAGAGAAUGUUUUAAUUAUGUCUAGAUUAUUGCGAUCCUUUUCCCGUAUCUCUUUUCGCUCAAAUUCCUCCUCUUCAUCUUCUUCAAGAAACACCAAUCUCUUAAAUGAUCAAGAUAACCAGACCCAAGAGGUCGCCCCAAAACACAAUCUCUUCGAUGAGGAAGUCCGAUUCGAAGAUAUUAAUCAAAACAUGGAUGACUGGAACAUUCCAGAAAUCCCUCAGGAUCAACUAUACGUUCCUGAAACAAUUAAAGACAAACACAACUUUGAUUACAUAAUCAAAACAGUAGAAAACAAUAUUCCUCUAGGACAAGAUAUAGGGGAAGAAUUUCAUCUACUUUCAAAAAAUUCAAUUUAUGAACAUAGCCGUAAGGAUACACCUUAGCCUUACUGCCCUUUCUCAUCCACGGGACUUACUGCUACAGUAUCAUUCAACUAAAAUAUCAGACUACUGUGCUUCCAGAAAAUACUGUUCAAACACAUACUGUUUAAAUUAAAAUUACUGUACAUGCUUCAGAUCCAUAAGUUCAGUUAACAUAUGCCCUUACGGACACUAUUCCUACUUCCGCUGACCUCUGGAAGUAAGAAUGCAGUAUAUUUGAUGAAAAUAUAAACUUUGAAAACAGAUAUCAAGGUCACACCGGAGACCGGCUUACAAAACCCAGGUUUUCAUAAACAAAGAAACCGAAGCGGCGGCAGAGCCGCACAGGAUCGGUGAAGGGAGAAGAGAGAAGGAUGAAAAAUAGAAAUUUAUUGAAUCUAGAAAGAAGCGCUUACAAAAAUCUUGUUUCAGAGCACCUCUCUUCCGAAACCUGGAAAAAUGGCUAAAUGAAAGGGUGCCUCACAACAUGCUUGAGGACUCCUUAUAUAGCCAAAAAUCUAAGACCGGUAGUUGCCGGUAGUUUUGACCGGGACUAUUUGACUGUUUGUUACAAGACAAGUAGUUUUGACCGGGACUUUAAUGGCUACAGGACAGGUAGUAUUGUCCAGCAUUAAUUACACAUUAAUUACAAACAGACGGUUUUGUGACCGAAAUUAAAUUUAAUCUAAACAGAUACCAAAACAAUCAUCUUCGUUUUGGUAAAAGGGAUCUUCUUCGUCUUCUUCAGCAGAACUUGUUUCUUCCUUCUUUGAGGAUGAAGCUUCUUCUUCCUGUUGUAACAUUUGUAGAACUUCCUUCAGAUUUUUAGCUAAGACCUCCUUUGAUGUCGAUCCUGCUAAAAAUGCUGCCAGAUGAGACUUUUGGUUCAAAAACACAGAAGUCUCUGGAUCAGCUGCUUUGAGGAAUUCUGGAUGGGAUUGGAACCAUAGUUUUACUUGUUCUGCAUCCGCUUUGGAUGAGUCAAAUUGUGUCCACCAUUUUACAAAUGCGUGCCUUUGUAGUGAUGGAUAUUGGUUUGUCUUCUCAGUCUUGCUGUAACGAUAUUGCCAUGAGAAUAUCCAUGACAGUGCAAAGCUUGAAAAGUAUUUAAGAUCUGCUGGAAUUCGUGAUUCCUGCGAAUUGUAUUGUUUCUUAAAUUGGGAAAAUCCUUGUUGGACCGUUUCUGGGAAUAUCUUUGGGAUUGGUCCAAAGAAGUCCCACCAUUGCAAAAACCAAUUGGGAAAAUUGUAAAUUGUGUUGGUCUUGAAAUAUAUCAGCCAUGAAUGUUUGAAGCGGGUAUUUUGGUGCCAAAACACCUUAGUCCAAGCAUCAACGUAAUCCCAAUAGGUAUAACCUACUGGAUCAAAUGGAACUGAAAAUCUCUUUCCUUUGUUCAAGUCCGAACCAAAGUGUCUUGGUUGAAGAACUUUUAGUAUUUGGAUGGUUGAGUGGGUGUUUAAGGUUUGGUCUUUUGGAUCUUUGAAAUGUUUGAUAGAUACUGAGUUCGAAUCUACCAAAAUCAAUUCAUAAAAAGUUCUUGUCUUCAGGAUAGUGGUUGGUUUGUAGUGAAAUCCUGGUGGGAAAGCCUUGGCCGUCGCCUUGAAGGGAUUUUUGUCCCAAAAUUCAGGUUCCAUCUGCAAAACAGUUAACAAUUUAUUUUUAUAAAUAUAAUUGUUAGUUUGUUUGGUAGGUGGUGUUUGAGCUUUGGCUAAAGGUAGUUUUCCUUUAGUAUUGGUGGCUGUUUUGGUCAUUGACGCAUUUUGGAUCAUUGUUUGUAAAUUUGAUUCAGAUUCAUCAUCAGAUUCUGAGGCAAUGUCUGCCCAAGAUUUUUUGAUUAUUUUUGGAAAUUUGGUCAGACCCAUGUCUUGAAGGGCCUGAAGGGUUUCAAUUGGCCAUGCAUAGUCGGCCGAUGUUUGUUUGGCGGUUGCCGAUUUGGGAGAUUCCUGAGUGGAUGGCUCAGGUUUGAUUGAGGCAAUCUGGGUUGAUGACCCUUCUAAAUUGGUUUUCUGGGUAGAUGACCCAGCCUGGGUUGGUGACCCAGAAGAGGUAGAUGAUUUCUUGAUGGUUGGCUCUGGAAGAGCCAGCCUGUACUCCUUCCUCCCCGUAGGGAGAUUCCCGAUGCCUUAGGAGGCAUUACCACUUUUCUGUAAGAAUUCACGGGUAAGGUAGUCAGGUAGUGAAUUUGAGGUGCCCUUGAUGUAUUCUAUGUCAAAAUCAAAGACACUUAAAAUUGCUUGCCAUCGUGCAAAAAUUUGUUUUGAGGCAAGGUUUUUAACAUCUUUCUGUAAAAUAUCUUUGGCUGAUUUACAAUCAACCCUGAUUAAAAAUUUUUGGUUUAAUAAAUCCGAUUGAAAUUUGGAAAUGCACAAAACAAUUGCUAAAACCUCUUUUUUAACAGUUGAAUAUUUUAAUUGUGCAGGAUUCCAAUGUUUCGAUGUAUAUGCAAUGACAUGAUCUUGGCCAUGGACUCUUUGUUUGAGGAUGCCACCAUAACCUAUGUCAGAAGCAUCAGUUUCGACAAUUUUGAAUGCCUGUGGAAUAGGAAGAUACAGACAUUUAAUGGAUUGGACUUUGACUUUGAUUUCUUUAACCGUUUGUGUAUGGAGGUCAGACCAAGGAGGCGGAUUUUUCUUCAGCCUAUCAUGUAAUGGCUUGACAAUAUUAUUUAAAUAGGGGACAAAUUCUCCUACGUAAUUUAGACAACCUAGAAAUCUUUGUAACUGGGUUUUGUCUAAGAUUUGGUUGGGGAAUUUGCUAGCAAACUCUAUUGACCUUUCGAUUGGAAUGAUUGUACCUUGAUAUAUAUUGUGACCAAGGAAUCGAAUUCGAGUUUGGAAAAGAUUGAUUUUUGAUUUGGAGACUGCCAAACCAUUUUGUUUGAUGAUAUGUAUGAAGGUUUGGAGAUGUUUGAAAUGUUGGUCAAUGUUUUGGGAAAAGAUUAAAACAUCAUCUAUGUAGACAAUGACAAAUUUUGAAUAAGGAUUAAAAAUAUCAUUCAUAAUUUUUUGAAAUUCUGAAGGGGCAUUCUUCAGUCCGAAUGGCAUCACGUUCCAUUCAUAUUGCCCGAAAGGUACAGUAAACGCUGUUUUGUACCUAUCUGAUUCUUGGAUUUGGAUUUGCCAAAAUCCAGAUUUCAUAUCAAAUUUUGAAAAUAUCUUUGCAGAAUUUAAUCUGUUAAGCAAAUCUUUUUUGUUUGGAAUAGGAUAUCUAAUCCAUUGUAAUGCUUGAUUUAAUGGUUUGUAAUUUAUGACUAAGCGGGGUGUUCCACGCUCAAUCUCAGAUUGUUUGUUAACAUAAAAAGCCGCACAAGACCAUGGGCUUUUGCUUUUCUGGAUUAGGCCUUUAUCAAGCAAAUCCUUGAUUUCCUUUUGAUAGUAUUGAAGAAGUUCUUCAUUCAUUUGGAUUGGUCUGGCUUUUGUGGGAAUUUGUUUUUCCCUAAAGUCUUUCUCAUAAGGGAGAUCGACAAUAUGUUUCUUUCUGUCCCAAAAUGCAUGUGGCAAUUCAGAACAAACGGUCGAUUCAAUAUGAUUUAAUAAAGAUUGAAUUCUUUCUUUUACUUGGGGUUUUCCCAGUUGUAUCUGAAUAUUAUUAAAAGGUACUUCUUCUUUUAAGAAGUUAAUUUGAUUAAUCUUAUGUAUAUAUGUAUAUAUAUAUAUAUAUAUAUAUGUAUGUAUUGUGAUAAAUGAUAUUGUUUUGGUUGUUUGAAAUGUGUUGUUUGAAGACCAUGCGUGUGGAAAUGAUAUUGUUGUGGUUGUUUGAAUUGUUGUUGAUGUUGCUAUUGAGGAUUUUAAUUGAUAUGUGAUGAUAAUGAUAAUUAUGAUGAUGUUGAUUUGAGAUGACAUUGUUAAUAAAGACCAUGUCAACAUGAAUUGUUAUUAUUGAUGAAUAUGUGAAUAUGAAAUGAGGUUGUUGUUGUUGUUGAUAACGUCAUUGAGAUGAGAUGAUAUUUAUGUUGUGAAUGACAUGGAAAUAUGAUUUGUUGAUUGAUGUUGGGAAUGCAUUGGCAUGUGCAUGUUGUGUAUGUUCGUGGGGGGCACUGUGCACUGACCUUUCAGGGUCUUUGGCACUAGCUUUUGGCCACGUUCAUACAUUGGAUGUUGUGUAUGAUCGUGGGGUCGUGGGGGGCACUGUGCACUGACCUUGCAGGGUCUUUGGCACUAGCUUUUGGCCACGAUCAUAUGUCGUAUGAAGUGUAUGCCAUGGGGGGGUAGAGUGCACUGACCUUGUCGGAUGGCCCAAACGUGGGUAACUAGCGUGGUUAGAGAAUCUAAGCAUUUCUGAGGGGAUGCUUAGGCGCUUUAAUUGGUCCAUGGUCUUUGGCACUUACUUUUGGCCGUGAUCAUAGCUCAUACGACACAGGAAAUAGAGUAACUGUGGCCAAGUGUACUUUGUACUAGGGGGCUGUCACCUGGUAGGGAACACCUUUGGGCUCCCAGGCUGAUCACCUAUGGGAGGGGGGCUGUUAAGUGCACAACCGGGUGGUCUCGACAAACUCAGCACAGUUCCCUAAGUGAGAGUGUCGUGUGGACACGCUUAGGCUAUUUCCUAAGAUUUGGUUGUUGUUGGUACGUACCACAUUGCAUCUGAGUGUUGAGUCAGGUGCAUGCAUCAUUCUGUGCAGUCUUGAUUGGGUCCAUGGAUGGAUGAUGAGUAAUUGUUGGAUGUGAAUGAUGAAUAUUUGUUGGAUAUGAGUGUUGAAUAAUGAUUGUUGCGUAUGCUUAUCAUGUUUGCCUAUGUUCCUUGCUAAUUGUGGUUAUUUGGAAUUGGUAUUGGUUCUUUUAUAAUAAACUCAUCCUUGCAAUUUUGUAUCGUGUGGUUGAUACCUGUGAUGAUCUCGAACCUUGUUCAUGGGAGCAGAAUGACAGUGGUAGGGUGUAGGGAGUAAGAUUCUGGUGAGGAGCCGCCGAGCCGACGUGAUGACGUUGGCGUUAUUUUGGGAGAGAGUUGUGUUUUGUAAUCAACUCCUCCGUAGUUGGUUUUUAAGUUUUAUUUUGUUGAGUUAAAGAUGUAAAACUGGAAUUUUAAUUAUAUAUAUAUGAACAUAUUUAAUUUUCGUUAUGUGUAUGACAUGUACCGAAUUAUUGUUUCUAUGUAAUUAUGCAUAUUCACUUAAGUAAUGGCGUGUUGUUGGAUGAAUUUAUGUUGUGACAAAAUCACUUCUAUUUUCAUAAGCAAAAAUUAAGGGAGUUCUUUUUAUAAAAAUUGAAAUUAUCGAAUAUUAGAGUGUGGAUACCGUAGCGACGAGGCGGGUCGUUACAGCACAAGUAUUCAUUACUUUGUACUGAAUCCUAUAGAUCAAAGCUGCUGGGAUUGAUCCUUUUUCAUGUCAAGGUCAUGAAAGUGGAUAUUUAAAAACAGAGAGUCAAGAAUGUUUCUGUCCAUUAGACUCACCGUUUUGUUUGGAUAACAGUUGAAGUAUAUUGGACCUUAUCCUAAGCUUGUUUCUACUGUUCCAAUUAAGGAAUCUUCAAACUUGUUAUGCCUAAUAUCUCUAAGGCACAUUAAAAAUGCAGCAUCUAUGCCCAAAUCAAUUAAGGACUUGAUGGCUACUUAUACACAACCGAUAUGUAAAUACUUGUAUUUACGGCUAUGUUCAUAAAUAGAAUUUUUUGAAAGCAGAUGAAAUUCUUCCCCUAUAUCUUGUCCUAGAGGAAUAUUGUUUUCUACUAUUUUUAUUAUAUAGUCAAAAUUAUGUUUGUCUUUAAUUGUUUCAGGAAUGUACACCUUAUCCUGAGGUAUUUCUGGAAUGUUCCAGUUAUCCAUAUUUUGAUUUAUGUCUUCGAAUCGGACUUCCUCAUCGAAGAGAUUGUGUUUUGGGACGACCUCGUGGGUCUGGUUAUCUUGUUCAUUGAGUAAAUUAUUGGUUGAAUUCAUUGAAGAAGAGGAUGAAGAUGAGUUUGAUCUAAAAAAAUGCGAGAGAAAGAACGUAAAAGGCGAGACAUUGGAUUCAUCCUCUAGUAUCUUUGCCGUCAUAUGGUUCCAUAGAAAUGUUUCCAAAAGGUUAUAUGUUACUAAACUUCUUGGAUCUGAAAAAUAAAGAAGAUUUUUAUUUUAUUUUAUUUUAUUUUUUACGGACAAUAUAGUUUGAACACUACUCCUAUAGCCACCAGUAUAUUAUGUUUUAAUAUUUUAUUUGAACAAUACACCUUAGCCUUACUGCCCUUUCUCAUCCACGGGACUUACUGUUACCGUAUCAUUCAACUAAAAUAUCAGACUGUUGUGCUUCCAGAAAAUAUUGUUCAAACAUAUACUGUUUAAAUUAAAAUUACUAUACACAGUUCAGAUCCAUGAAUUCAGUUAACAUAUGCCCUUACGGACACUAUUCCUACUUCCCCAUCAGGCUCUAAUACCAAAGAUCAGAGGAGAAGGACCUAACGGACAAAUAGGAAGUAGGAAUGCAGUAUGAUAAAUGGAGAUCGAAAUGUAAACUUUUCAAAACAGGUAUCAAGGGCACACCGGAGACCGGCUUACAAUUCCCAGGUUUUCAUAAACAAAGAAACCGAAGCGGCGACAGAGCUGCAUAGGAUCGGUACAAGAGGAGGAGGGGAGACGUAUGAGAAAUAGAAAUUUAUUAAAACUUGAAAGAAACGCUUACAAAAGUUUUUCUUUCAGAGCACCUCCUCUCGAAAACCUGAAAAAUGGCCAAAUGAAAGGGUGCCUCACAAUAUGGUUGAGGACUCCUUAUAUAGCCAAAAUUCUUUGACCGGUAGUUUUGAUCAGAACUAUUUGACUGGUUGUUACAAAACAAUUAGUUUUGACCGGGACUUAUUUGCUACAGGACAGGUAGUAUUGUCCGAAAUUACAAAUUAAUUAACAACAAUCGGAACUAAUUAAUCAUCUUCUAAUGAGAUGCCAAAACAAUCAUCCUCAUUUUGGUAGACAGGAUCAUCAUCUAGGUCAUCAAUGUCUUCUGAAGAUCCGGCAUCCUUCUUUGAAGAUUCCUCCUCUUCUUCUUGUUGAAGUAGCUGGAGAACUUCCUUAAGGUUCUGGGCAAGGCUUUCUUUGGAUUUUGAACUGGCCAAGAACGCCGCAAGCUGAGAUUUCUGAUUCAGAAAUAAUGAUGUUUCUGGAUUAGCAGGUUUGCUCUUUGGUAAUCAAUUACUAGAGACUGUAAUCGAUUACUAGAAGCAAGAAUAGUUUUUAACAGUUUUCAUUUUACAAAAGCAUGUCUCUGCAAAGGUGGAUAUUGCUUGUUGUUUUCAGUUUUCCCAUACCUGUAUUGCCAUGAAAAGAUCCAUGACAAAGCAAAGCUAGAAAAAUACAUUAGAUCGGCUGGAAUUCUUGAUUCCUGGUUGUUGAACAAUCUAUUGAACUGUUGAAAUCCUUGUUGGACUUCUUCUGGAAAG
rnacentral:lncRNA from 1 species